GAUGAAGAACGUAGCGAAAUGCGAUACGUAAUGUGAAUUGCAGAAUUCAGUGAAUCAUCGAGUCUUUGAACGCACAUUGCGCCCCCUGGUAUUCCGGGGGGCAUGCCUGUCCGAGCGUCAUUGCUGCCCUCAAGCACGGCUUGUGUGUUGGGCCUCCGUCCUCCUCCCGGGGGACGGGCCCGAAAGGCAGCGGCGGCACCGCGUCCGGUCCUCGAGCGUAUGGGGCAUCGUCACCCGCUCUUGUAGGCCCGGCCGGCGCUUGCCGACACAUCAAUCUUUUUUCCAGGUUGACCUCGGAUCAGGUAGGGAUACCCGCUGAACUUAAGCAUAUCAAUAAGCGGAGGA
rnacentral:misc_RNA from 1 species